UAUUAUCAUUAGCAUCAGCAGCAACAUCAUCUUUCCUCUGAAUACUUUCCGCUAGCAUCUUUUGAAGAUACUCGUGAAAGGCUUUCAUAUCAGGUAAAUUAGGAUCAAUGUAUGACAAUUGCUCGAACGUCAUCUGAUCCAUUAUUAGUAUUUUUUUUAGGUUAUUAUUAGGGUUUUUUUCACUUUUUGGGGAUUUUGAUUUUGCGUUAGGUAUCUAUAUAUGGCAUUCCUUACAUAUAGAUGAUCUCAAUUUUAAUUUCAUUAUACACCCUGAGGUAUAUGAUAUUAUCAGGUUUCACUUACAAGUAUUUACCUCUUUUAUUCUUUUAUCAUUAUAUCUAGCACUUUACACACUCCAUACCUUUUUGUUUUUAAUACUACUAAUAAUAGUAAUCUGCUAAUCAUGUAUUUUAUAUCUCGUUUCAUCUAAUUCCCAAUUAUACUAAUCGUUAUAAAAAACUUCAAUCUAAUUUUUAUGACAGUAAAAAACCAGAAGCUGCAAAGUAGAAAACCACAUAAAUUAAGUCAUCAAGAUGAAUUGUUAUAUUUGUUUGCAAAAGAUAAAGCAACGGGUUCAUCUGCAAAAGAGGGGGGAAAUAAGAUGAACAAUGAGGUAAGAGUAGAAACAACCACAACAAAAUAUAAAAGAGAAGCUUCCGACUAUAAAAAAAGUAAAAAAAUAAUGAGUAUAAAGAAAAGAAAGCUGGAAGACCAGGAGGGAUUCCAUUAAAGAUGUAUUUGAAGCUAUCAGAGAAAGUACAGAGGUGUUUUAAGGUAAUGAAGAGCUAGCUCUCAUCCACAUGUUUACUCUGAGGAGGAGAUCUACAUAGAACUCCUGAGCUUGGAUUUGGCUCCUAAUGCGCGAUUAGGAAAACACAUGCGCUAUUUGGAUGUCCUUACAUUGUAGAAGUGAUGACUACCACCUGAAGCAAUAUUACCGUUUUUUAUUAUGAAUUUUAGUGCUUUUUUAGUCUAAUAGCCCAUCCUUAAGUUUCUAAGUGCAUUUUUGGAUGUUCUGUUCUUGUGAUUAUUGAUGUCACAUUCUAGCAGCCGCUAAUGCUUUUGUGAACUUUUUUGGACCUGCAAUUUUAUUGUUUUUUACUAUGAAUUUUGGUACUUUUUUUUAGUCAAGAAGCAUGAUGCUAUUUAGUUCAAAAUCUGCUGCUGUAGUUCAAAAUCUGCUACUGUUGAAUAAACAUCAUACCUAUAUAAUGGUAGCUUUUAUAAUUAGGUGGAGUGCAUGUUUUUCUAUCUUAUUCAGACGUGCGGCGGCAGCAUAACAACAUUCUCGAUAACAACAGGUUGCCGAACUCCUCGGCAAAGUCCUUCAGUAGAAUCAGAUGAUGCUGAUGCGCAAUCAUAUUCCGCAUUCAAUGACAUUAUAUUAUUAAAUCCAGGGUUUUUUCUUUC